rnacentral:ncRNA from 1 species
UUCUUAUCCAGAGAGGCGGAGGGACUGGCCCUAUGAAGCCCGGCAACCGGUUUAAAUAAAACGCGGUGCCAAUUCCUGCAGAACAUUCAUGUUCUGAUAGAUAAGAA